rnacentral:tRNA from 1 species
UUCCCUGACCGUCCAGUGGUUAGGACUCUGCACUUCGACUUCAGGGGCCCAGGUUCAAUUCCUGAUGGGGAAA